UGGAGUGGAUACUGUCGAUGGCCUGCGCUUCACUGCGCGGCUUCUCGCGGUUUCCGUUUACAGCUCCCUAAAUUCUUACACACAUUGGAGUUUUUUCCUCUCGGGGAUUAAAUUUUUCUUCGAGUCUAGCAAUAGGCUCGGAGGUCACAAACACAAACAAACCUUUAUGAUAACCAUAGUCAAGUGAAAUUGAGAAAUUUUAUAAUAUUUUAAAACUUUCAACAACGGAUCUCUUGGUUCUCGCAUCGAUGAAGAACGCAGCGAAUUGCGAUAAGUAUUGUGAAUUGCAUUUUUUCGUGAAUCAUUGAAUCUUUGAACGCACAUUGCGCCCUUUGGUAUUCCAGAGGGCAUGCCUGUUUGAGCGUCAUUUCCUUCUCAAACCUCUGGGUUUGGUAGUGAGUGAUACUCUUUACUGGGUUAACUUGAAAAUGCUGGCCUACUUAGGCAGCUGCUGACUCGACUUAUUCUGUCUAGUCUGCUGUUGAUCUAUGCUAUGAAAAAUGUAUUUAGGUUUUACCAACUUGCAUUCGAGUAGUUGUGAGAGAUAGUGGGUGCUAUUAGGACUCUAUAGGCUUGGGAUUGCAUCAGUGGCACACGCCAGGCUAACAAUAUUCAUAAAGUUUGACCUCAAAUCAGGUAGGAUUACCCGCUGAACUUAAGCAUAUCAAUAA
rnacentral:rRNA from 1 species